AAUAGAUACCCAGGUAGUCCACGCCGUAAACGAUGAGUGCUAAGUGUUAGAGGGUUUCCGCCCUUUAGUGCUGAAGUUAACGCAUUAAGCACUCCGCCUGGGGAGUACGGCCGCAAGGCUGAAACUCAAAGGAAUUGACGGGGGCCCGCACAAGCGGUGGAGCAUGUGGUUUAAUUCGAAGCAACGCGAAGAACCUUACCAGGUCUUGACAUCCUCUGACAACCCUAGAGAUAGGGCUUCUCCUUCGGGAGCAAAGUGACAGGUGGUGCAUGGUUGUCGUCAGCUCGUGUCGUGAGAUGUUGGGUUAAGUCCCGCAACGAGCGCAACCCUUGAUCUUAGUUGCCAUCAUUAAGUUGGGCACUCUAAGGUGACUGCCGGUGACAAACCGGAGGAAGUGGGGAUGACGUCAAAUCAUCAUGCCCCUUAUGACCUGGGCUACACACGUGCUACAAUGGACGGUACAAAGAGCUGCAAGACCGCGAGGUGGAGCUAAUCUCAUAAACCGUUCUCAGUUCGGAUUGUAGGCUGCUAACG
rnacentral:rRNA from 1 species